UUAUCAUCAACAGUAUAUAUUAUCAUCAUAAAUUUUUACAUUAUUGCAAACGUAUGAAGAUCUCAAACACUACAUUAAUCAAUAUAUAAAUAACAAAACAAAAACAAAAAAGAUUCAAGGCAUACACUUACAAUGAACUUUGAAAAAGAAAUAUGUAUCAAGUACUACAUUAACUAAUAAAGCAAUCUCUUAAAGGUCGACUACUGGAAAUGAAUUAUACAAUAUCUGAUGUACUCUAUCAUGAAUAACACUUUAAAACAUAUUAUAGUACUAAAGGUAGUAUACGGUAGAAACCCAAUUUGUUAUCCCCUUGGGCCUUAGCACCCUUCACAUCAAUCUCCUAAUUUUGCAACUGAUCCAUUUUCGGCAGCUUGACCACCCUAUUAAUCUAAGCAACAUGUGAGAUUUCCUUGUUCAGAUCAUCAAAAACUUCUGAAGGUUUUUGGGUCUUAAGUUCCCUAAUUGUUGUUUUGCCUUUCCAUACCUGCAAUUGAGACCAACAAAGAUGCAUUAUUUAUUAUAGUCUGCUCCUAAUUUAAAAAAAAAAAAAAUUAUUUAUGCCAGCUGCAGUUAGAUAAUAUUAGAUGAGUACUAUAAAGUUGGAGGGGUUUAAAUAUGUGAAAGCGGGAUAUUGAAAGAGAGAAAUCUAAUUUUCUCAAGGAUCAUGCUCACCCUUUAGAAUGAUGACUUAUUCACCUAGCAAUCUUGAAAAAAUCAGCACUCGUAACGGAUAAAAAUUAUUGAAGUACUUGACAAACAAACUUUUAAAAUAAAUAGAAACAUGGCUACUAGAGAAAUACUUAUAAAUUAAUUCUACAAUUUCAUUUAUUAGAAUGGAAUUCAGAAGUAUGAGUAAAAAGUUUUCACAUGAACUAACUUACUACUGUUGCCGUAUAUGAGAUAAGGUGCAGAUCCAGAUGAAAAUAUUCAGGUGCUCCGGUAGAUUUUAGAUCAUACUAACUAGUUUAACUACCAGUUUUCUUUUCCACCUUCACUCAUCGCUACUGUUUGCUUUACUCAUCAUGCUCCCAUAGAAAACUAACCAGCAGCAACCUGCAAACACCAUAUUAAAAUUAUUUCGAUAUGUAUAUAUGAGAGACAAUAAGCAGAAUCUUUCCAAAAAAAAUACUGGAAGAGAUUUAUAUUAUUAGAAAGUAUGAGAAGUUUUCUAGAAUAUCACCCUUCACUCUGCAUUGAUAUUAAGAACAAAUAAGAAUAACCUGCAAGAUCACUAAUUAGAAUGAAUUCUAAAUACAUUGUCAUCUACCUACUAUUUUCUUUUUCAUCCUAUUUCAUAUCUUAUUUACUUUAUUUUAUAUUUGUGGGGUCUAAUAAUUUUAAUAAGCUUGAGUAGCCUUCAAUCUACUAAGGAAAAGAACAACUCUUUCUACCUCUUGAUCCUGCACAUUCAUACUGAAGGUCAAAUGCUUAUUAUUGCUUUCUCUACACUCAGCAACUGAAGCAUCCUUGAGUGUGGUAAGAUCGUCGAUAUCUUGGAAUAAAUCUUACAAAACUACAAUCUACCAUCAAUGGAUCUUUCUGCUUCUAGAUUCUGUUAAUAGACUAUAAUAUGAGUCAACUGAUUCUCUUAAAAACACAUGAAAUAUGUUAUGAUAAGCAUAACUUCUUACCAUAAUAAAGACCAACUAUCAUAAACUAAGAGAACUAAGAAACAUAGAAGGUAGGACUUCGAAGAACGGAUCAUUUUUGUCCAACAACCGAUACAAUAAAAAACUGAUUAAUACAAAGAAAAUGAGAGAAAAGACUCGGAGAAGAUGCAAGUUGUAUAAGUAAAGCAACCUAUCAAUCACCGGUGAAGCAUUCACAAAUAGAAUGUAUAUGACAAGCAAAAUAUCAAACACUAGUUAAGUUGAGCAUCAUGUUCUUUUUUUCAUAAAGUAAAAGGAGUUCAUUAAAAGAAGUCAAGAGGAUGCAAACAAAAUUACAAUUGAGAAAAGAAUAUGUUUGCUCAUGGACAAAAGCUAAUCUAAAACUAAGGAGCAGUAAUGCAUUUGAUGUUAAAUUUUGCUCCUUUUAUUAUUUCAAUUAAGCGGUACAUUUUUAUCCAUUGCUUUCAUAGAAGAGUAUUAGCCCGUUGCACUAGCUGGACACUACAUAUUAACAAGUUAUUU
rnacentral:lncRNA from 1 species